CUUUGACGAUGAUGGUAAUGAUAGGGAAUUGCGGUUUCGACUAGGAGGUUCCUUAAACAUCUCGGUGAUCAAGAUAUUGGUCGGAGUGUUUACGAAACUCAAAGAGAAAUGCCGAGACGACGAUGAGGAAAAACAAAGAUGCACGGAUAAUUGACCAAAUUUGGAUACAGUGUCGCUGACUGACUAUGACUGAACUCUAGAACUGAGUUUAACCGAUGCGCGGAGAUGCGAGUCGCCGAACUAUGUGUGGCACACACGAGAGCCACGAGAGGUUAAAUUGUGUUGACACAUCUCAACGAAAUCAACGCCAGGCGAAUGGGUUCCAACCGUCGAUAAAAUAAAUCUCUACUGGCCGAUAACGUAGCGGCGAGCACAAACGCAGAUGGAGAGAUUCCAACGUCAGGCUGAUAUAGAAGUUAGUAACGUUGUUGCGAUUCAUGCCGUGGAAAAACUGUUCUUUCGCGAUUUUGGAUUUACCUGAAAUACAGUAAUCCGUAAUAAAACUGAACACACUCAUAUUUUGUGAUCUUAUUUCGUCCGUAGGGAUUUCUUCCCUAAUGUUUCGUGACGAUAACGUUGCUAACUUGAACAUUGUGUGUCAGGUUCGAGGGACAGAAAUCCCAUUCAUUUUAGAACGGAAUCGUGCAGGACAUUGCAAACCCACCAGAUGCUUCUUUUACUGAUUGGGAUCUCAGGAAAACGUAGAAGACAUCUUGAACGGCAAGAGACCAAAGACUAACAAAGUGCGAAGGAAAUAUGGAAAAAAAUUGAUUCUUCAUUCGUUUUAAUCCUCGUUACAUCAAAGGGGAUAGAUGCUAACAUAAAUCAGACAUCAUACGUCGUAUUCUACAGAGGUGUGUUGGACCUGUACGAAGGUCAACACCUGAGCUGUAUUUGUGAACUACGAUAAUCACUAACUGAUAUAAUAUUUUUCGUAUUCGACUUAAGAUAAUGUAUACUGUACACCUACUUCCUAAAAUUAUGCCGAAAUAUCUUGAGGAAUGAUUAUUCACAUUUUUGUAUUUAUUAUUGUGUUCCAAUUUGAUUCUGUUUGUGAACAUGUUGAAUUGUUACACACUGACACCACAACAAUUAUAAUUACGCAAUAUUGUACAAAUA